rnacentral:lncRNA from 1 species
CAGGGAUGUCAGUUACAGGCAGUUCCUCUGGCAUAGGUCAACAGGGAUGUCAGUUACAAUUACUUCUCUAGCAUAGCUCACCAUGAAUGUUAGCCAGAUGCACCUUCUCUGGCAUAGUGAAUCUUAAGAUGGAGGAGACAGUGGCAAGUCUAACAGUACUCUAGAGAGUCCUGAAUGGAGGAGUGGAAGAAGGGCAGAGCGCUCCUAUCUGCCCAGACCACAAGUGAAGAGGGACAUGCUAUGAUUUGCAUCCCAGAGGAAGAUGCACCAAGAGGGACAAACUCCACUGAGAGGACUUAAAUAUGCUUUUUGCAGUUAGUAAGCUGAAGAACGCGGCGGGACACUAGGUCAAAGUAGGGCCUUUGGUGAUGGAAACGAAGAUGAAUGUUACAGGCAUAAUCAAUGUGGUUUUCUGAUAAAUAUUUUCUCAAGGUGUGUCCCUCAGCUAAUUAGAUGAGUGGGUGAGGAAGAGUGAGAAGUCAGGGAUGAGAUGCAGGCUCAGGCUUGGGAAACCAAGGGAGUAACAAGAGAAGCCAAUGAUUGGACAAUGACGUCAUUCCUUCAGCGGCUUUAUACGUCUGGGAACUGAAAUGCUAGGGAGUGGAAGACUGUAUGGUAAACAUUGUAGGAGUUGAGUCCGUUGCUCCCUUCUUAUCAUUUUUUUCUCAUCACAAAUAACACUUCCCAGUCAAGUAUGUGUCAUUGGGGUGUAUUGUGUGGAAUUUCCAAAUGAUCAAUAAAAACAAUAUGCUG